rfam:Marine metagenome 1094426018255, whole genome shotgun sequence.
AUUUGUGUGAGGAGUGCUGAGCGCCUCUUCAGGGUCGAAACAAGGACAGACUCCUGAAUGUGCUCCUCU